rnacentral:lncRNA from 1 species
UUAGACACCACAAAUGAACAAGGUCCUGAAGGCUGCUGCACAAAGAAGAGUAAACCAGAUUCUGCCCCAAAAGACUAGCUGAAGAGAGGCCUGGAUUAAUCAGAGCCAGGUUGCCACCCAGAGGGAGAGGCCUGGACUGAGUGACCAUAGAGAUAAACCAAGGGAAGUAGAACUGAAGGAUGGAGAGAAACCAGGACCUGACAAUUACUGGUGACAUCAUUUGAACCCAAAUCCAGCCAUAUCUACAGACACCGAUAGCAGCAAGGGGCAGACAAAUGGGGCACAUCCCUGGUGAAACACACCUUCAAGCUAAAAAACAACCUGAAGGCUGAAAGACUGGACUCCUGGUCCUGGAUGAAACCCAGACCCAGAGUCAGAACCUCUGUUCAUGUUUGCCUGCCCUUUUCUGAUUGCUUCUUUCUGAAUAAUGCCUUUUAACCAAUCAAAUGUUGCCUUUUCCAUUACUACCUAU